ensembl:antisense Gm11696 predicted gene 11696
CCUAGAGCUGAGUGCAUUGAGCCCCGCCCCCUACAGCAGACUCAUUCCCAGGGACAGCACCAGGAGAUGGCUAGAGUGGAGCCUCUGAGCCAUGGCCAACUGGAAGCCUCUUUUGCCUGGAGUGAGAGGUACUGCUGGCUGGGAGGAUGCCCCUUUCCCAGAGGCCAGACCUCAACAGCUUCCAAGUUCCCAGACUCUCAGAAUGGAUCUCAGCCCAGUUACUCCAUCUCACUCAUUCACUAGCUGGUCCUCAGCUUGGAGCCGUUAGUACCCUUCCCAUGGGAGUCCGGGGGAGUCUCUGGCUAUCCCCACCCUUCCCAAGGCCAUCCUGGGCAGGGAGCCAAAAAAACAAUUUAUGGAAAAAGCAGAGGCCGAAUAUAAAUGAUUUUUUAACUAACCUCCGGUUAUCUGAUCACCCGGGAUGUCUGCUCAGUGAAGAAAUCCUAAGAGUUAAACAUUUCAAGAAGAGAUAGCGUCACUUCUUUUUGGGGGUGCAGCCAGAGGCAGGGUGUGACCCCAGACGACUCUCCUCUGCUGAGCCACAUGUGU